UACGUAGGGAGCAAGCGUUGUCCGGAUUUAUUGGGUUUAAAGGGUGCGUAGGUGGCUGAUUAAGUCAUGGGCGAAAGCCCGCUGCUCAACUGUGGAAUUGCCUGUGAUACUGAUUAGCUUGAGUGCGGUUGAGGCAGCUGGAAUUGGUGGUGUAGCGGUGAAAUGCAUAGAUACCACCAGGAACACCUAUUGCGAAGGCAGGUUGCUAAGCCGUAACUGACACUGAGGCACGAAAGCGUGGGGAGCAAACAGG
rnacentral:rRNA from 1 species